rnacentral:ncRNA from 1 species
AUAAUAGCGCCAGACCGCGCCCCUCGGGCGCGGUUGACGAGGCGAGAAGUGAUCGAAAAUUCGGCGGAUGCUUCUCCGGUCGGAACCCCCGAUCGUUAAAACAGGUUCAAAUAUGCGGGCAACCGCAAA